CCUACGGGUGGCAGCAGUGGGGGAUAUUGCACAAUGGGGUGAACCCUGAUGCAGCGACGCAGCGUGGGUGAAGAAGCGCCUCGGCGCGUAAAGCCCUGUCAGCAGGGAAGAAAAUGACGGUACCUGAAACAGAAGCCACGGCUAACUACGUGCCAGCAGCCGCGGUAAUACGUCGGGGGCAAGCGUUAUCCGGAGUUACUGGGUGUAAAGGGGGCGCAGACGGCGAUGCAAGCCAGGAGGGAAAGCCCUGGGCCCAACCCCGGGACUGCUCUUGUAACUGCGUGGCUGGAGUGCAGGAGGGGCAGGCGGAAGUCCUGGUGUAGCGGUGAAAUGCGUAGAUAUCAGGAGGAACACCGGUGGCGAAGGCGGCCUGCUGGACUGCAACUGACGUUGAGGCCCGAAAGCGUGGGGAGCAAACAGGAUUAGAUACCCGUGUAGUC
rnacentral:rRNA from 1 species